rnacentral:tRNA from 1 species
GCUUGUAUAGCUCAGCAGGUAGAGCAGCGCAUUCGUAAUGCGCAGGUCAUCAGUUCGAAUCUGAUUACAAGCUCCA